rnacentral:tRNA from 1 species
UGGGGAAUGGUGUAACGGCAGCACGACGGGUUCUGGCCCCGUUAGUCCAGGUUCGAAUCCUGGUUCCCCAGCCU